rnacentral:rRNA from 1 species
GGACUACCAGGGUAUCUAAUCCCGUUUGCUCCCCUGGCUUUCGCGCCUCAGCGUCAGAAGAGGUCCAGCGUGUCGCUUUCGCCACCGGCGUUCCUUCCGAUAUCUACGCAUUUCACCGCUCCACCGGAAGUUCCACACGCCCCUACCUCCCUCGAGACGACUGGUUUCGGCAGCUCUUCUCCAGUUGAGCUGGAGGAUUUCACAACCGACCCUGUCGCCCGCCUACGCGCCCUUUAAGCCCAGUGAAUCCGAACAACGUUUGCACGGUUCGUCUUACCGCGGCUGCUGGCAC